CAAUAGCGUAUAUUAAAGUUGUUGCAGUUAAAAAGCUCGUAGUUGGAUCUCGGGUACUGGUAUGUGGUACGCUUUACUGCUGUUACUACAUGUCUGGUCCUAAUCAAUCGGUUGGCCGUUGAUGUCCUUCAUUGGGUGUUUUCGGUAGCCGGUACGUUUACUUUGAGAAAAUUAGAGUGCUUAAAGCAGGCUAUACGCCUGAAUAAUGUUGCAUGGAAUAAUAGAAUAGGACCUCGGUUCUAUUUUGUUGGUUUUGUAGAGCAUUGAGGUAAUGAUUAAUAGGGACAGACGGGGGCAUUCGUAUUGCGGUGUUAGAGGUGAAAUUCUUGGAUCGCCGCAAGACGAACAACUGCGAAAGCAUUUGCCAAGAAUGUUUUCAUUAAUCAAGAACGAAAGUUGGAGGUU
rnacentral:rRNA from 1 species